rnacentral:lncRNA from 1 species
GGAGGGCGAUGAUAGGCACUUUGUCCCAAUCCCAGUGUUAUUAUCGUGCGCUAAUCAUUUUGAAGUAUUGUUUCGAGCUCAGUCAUAAAAUUGGCAGCGGAUCAUUCGGAGAGAUCUACACCGGUGGACUACUCGCUAAUUGGUACUCGAUUUUUUCUUUAUUUGUUUUGCUUUUAGAUUGAUUUUGAUUGAAGUUUUCCAUGGAUUAUUUUUAGGUACUAACACUCAAACGAACGAGAAGGACGAGACUAAGCUUGUGAGUCACUAACUGAUACUUGGUUUUUGCUCCAUGCGUUCUACUUUUUCUAGUUUUUGCUCGUUUUAGUUACUUUAGUAUUGUUAUAGUCAUUCCAUUGAUAUUUUGUUGAUUUAAUAUUUUGACGUAUUAUUUUGACGUUCUAUGAGGCGAUAUGGACUGUGGCUUGUUCUGUUUUUUUUUUUCUUGGGUCAUUUGAUUGACGUAGAUAAUGUUCACUUGCUUCCAAUAAGUCAUGGAUGCUAACUUCCAUACAUUAGAAUGAUUAUUAUUAACAAGUGGAAGCUUUCCUCAGUUUGUGGCAUUCACAUGCAUGAGAAAAUUGUCAAAAAGUCGUAAAUCUAUUGCUUUUUUAUAAUCUAAUUAUAAACAUUUUAAUUUUACUAAUUAAAUCCUAAAAUUUUCAUAUUUUGUUAAUUGAGUCUACCUUGUCAAUUUUAAUCGAAAUCGUUGACUUAGACAAAUUUUAAUAAUAUGUAGAUGUUUUUUCGAAAUUUUAAAUUUUUCCUUUUUUCUUUUCUCUCUUCUCCUUCUUUCCCUUCUUUUUACUUUUUUUUUCUUCUUCCUUUCCCCCUUUCCCCCUCCGCUAGUCACCAUUGGGCCUCGUUGAUAGCUCGUGGAGUUUGGCAGCCUCACAAGAGGGCCACAAUCGUUGGCCUCAAGCGAGGGAUGCCUGGGCUGGAUUGGCAAGGAUCGAGCGACCCUUCACGG